AGGAUAAUAGUUAAAAAUUAACAUUUAAAUUGCAAUUAAAAAUUAUUGGAAUACCCAAUUUAUCUCA
rnacentral:tRNA from 1 species